GAUAAAUCAUUCUGGCAAUGUGGAAGGGGUGGGAAUUGUGGCCAGAAGUUCCAGCAGGAAGGGAAGGGGCUCUAGGGAGUAUCCAGGCAGAAUACCCUGGGCCUCAGUUCCCCCAUUCACAAAGAGGAAAUGCCAUAUCUCACUUGCUGUUAGAGGAAUCAAGGAAUAAAAAAGAGAUGAUUGAAUUGCAUUUGCACUAAAACUGAGGGCAGGGGUGCCUGGUAGGCUCAGUCAGUGGAGUGUGCAACUCUUGAUCUCGGGGUUGUAAGUUUGAGCCCCUCAUUGGGCAUACAGUUUACUUAGAAAAAAAAAUGGCCAAGUAUUCCUGAAAAGAUUAAACAGAAAACAGAGUCACUUAACAAUUAUAUUCCUAGGACUAUGGCCAAGAAAAAUGAAAACAUAUGGCCACACACAAACCUGUACACAAAUGUCCAUAGCAUUUGUUCAUAUUCAUAGCACAAAUGCUCACAUUCACUAUGUGAGCCAAAAAAGUGGAAACAACCCACCAACAAAUAAAUAGAUAAACCGUGGCUGAUCCGGGCUAUGACGUGGAUGAAACCUUGAAAACACCGUGCUUGAGUGAAAGAAGCCAGUCACAUGAGACCACAUGUUGUAUGAUUCCAUUUGUAUGACACAUUCAGAACAGGAAGAUCCACAGAGAUGGGCAGAUUAGUGGUUGCCUAGGGCUGAGGGAGUUCAGGGGAGACACGGGGAGGUGACUGCUAAUGGGCACAACUUUCUUUUUAGGGUGAUGAAAACAAUCUAAGAUCGACUGUCAUGAUGGCUGCACAGCAUUGGCGAAUAUACUAAAAGCCAUUGAAUUUGUACAGUUAAAUGGGUGGAUGUGGAUUAGAUCUUAAAGCAGUUACCAAAACAAACAACCAGGGAGAGAGUAUAUCCAAAGAAUCAGACACAGGAUGAGACAGACACGACUGUUAGAGGUAGGGUGAUGGUACCCGUGCUGUUUGCUGUAGAAUCCUCACGGGGCGCCUCUGAGACCAGGAGCCCCGUGACUGUUCCCGGAGGUUGUCGGUAGCUGUCACUUGUGGUCUUGCAGUGUAACUGACGAAUUCACCUGUUCCCAGGAGCGUUUGCUUUCUGCUGACACCUGUCCUUCUCACAGAUGCACACACGAGGCUCCUUCCACAGCACCUGCCUCCUCCUCCAGCCUCCAAGCCUCAUACAUGUGCUGCAAAGCUGGCUGCUUCUUUAUUUUUAGUCCGGAUUAUACUCUAACUGGGUCAGCUGGAGUGCCGUGGGCCCGGCACAGCCUCAGCGGUCCUUCUGCUGGCGCCUGCCCCCAGAUCAUCCUACUGCCCCCGGAAGAACACUUGUCUGCUUUCCACGGGGCUGGACCCCAGAUUCCCAGGUUUUACAGAAAACAGCCCCAAGGUGGGAGAAGUGGGAGCUCCUUCCUCUAAUCUGCAGCAGUGCCAUCUGCUGGCCAAACGGUGGUACAGGGGACACGGUGGCUUCCCUGCUGGCCUUCCCUUCCCGGACUUGGAGCCUGCGUCACAGAGUGCCAGGGAUAAUGCUCAUCCCUCUUAGUUGUCUUAGGCCAGAGUUUAAACCAGACCUCGUCCUUCCAUUGAAUCCCAUGAGAAAAGUGCCCGUGUCUUCCAUGUUGAGCUUGAUGUGCGGUUUCACGAGCCUCACUGUUGGUACAGAAGACACCAGGUAAAGACACCUGGCAACCUCCUCUGUGCCCCCUUCCACUCACCGUCGCCCGCAAGGAAGUCACUAGCCCAGCUCCUAAGAACAGAUUCAUUUGCCUGCCUUUGUAUCUUCAUUAUAAAUUGGAGCCACUUGGAGCACGCAGUGUGCAGUUGUGAUACAGCAAACACUCCAGGUGACAAAGGGCAUCUUCAGUACAGUUCUCUUCAACGGAGCAAAGCCCAGCCCAUCAGAAUGGACCACUCCAUUGGAGCUAUCGUCCAUUUAAUGAACAUUUACUUACCCCCUCCUGUGUGCUGGUGCUAGAGAGAUGGUAAAAAGCAGAAAGAUCUCUGUCCUGAAGGAGCUCCAGAGAUAUCCUCUCUUCAGGUAGCAGCUCAGAUGUCACCUCUGCAGAUGGUCCUCCAUGAGCACCUGCCCGCAUCACCCCAUUGUCUGUUUCAUCUUCUUUGUGGCAUGCACAUCACCGAAGG